UUAUGUAAUAUUUAAAAGAAAUAUAUUAGCAUUAAAAUGUGCAAUGAAAUUACUAAUUGAUAUAUGUGUUGUUUUUUUUUUUCCUAGAAUUUUUCUUUGCAGUACAUGUAGAAAUUUUCCAUUCUCAGUCAGAACAAAGAUGAAACUUGCAAUCACAAAAAUCUGCUUUGAAUUUUUCUUCUCAUCCUCCAUUCUUAAGAAUUAAUCCUCAUACAGGAAUUAUUGAAGCACUAAAGAGGAACUGUUGUCUGGUAUUGAAUGCAAGGAAUGAAGGUAAGGUCAAAUUUACUGUGAACUUUCUAUACAAAGUGAUUCCUGCCUCACUACUGGCUAAAAUGUGGCUCUGCGUGUCUCUAAUAUUUUGCUUCACUGCACAAUACUGUAAUUAAACAAAAGAGGCCAUGAGGGGCCUGUUUUACAGAUAACCCAGCAUGGAAGUGACAGGUUUAUCUCAUCUUAGGAGUACUGUGAUGCCAGAGAGUCCUGAGAAAGUGACUUGUUGGACCUAUGAAAAAAGACUGAGAGAGCUGGGGAUAUUCAGCCUGGAGUAGAGAAGGUCCUGGGGAGACCUUACAACAGCCUUUCAGUGCUUAAGGGAAGCUUAUAAAAAAGAUGGAGAGUGACUUUACCGUGGCCGAUAGUGAUAAGACAAGGGAGAAUGUUUUUUAAAUAGAAGAGGGUAUAUUUAGAUUAAAUAUCAGGAGGAAAUUCUUUACUCAGAGGGUGGUGAGGCACUGGAACGGGCUGCCCAGAGAGGCUGUGGAUGCCCCAUCUCUGGAGGUGUUCAAGGCCAGGCUGGAUGGGGCAUUGGGCAACCUGGUCUAGUGGGUGGCAUUCCUGCCUGC
rnacentral:lncRNA from 1 species